rnacentral:rRNA from 1 species
UACAGGGGUGCAAACGUUGCUCGGAAUUAUUGGGCGUAAAGCGCGCGUAGGCGGCUACUUAAGUCGGAUGUGAAAGCCCUUGGCUCAACUGAGGAAGUGCACCCGAAACUGAGUGGCUAGAGUACGAAAGAGGGUCGCGGAAUUCCCGGUGUAGAGGUGAAAUUCGGUAAGAUAUCGGGAGGAACACCGGUGGCGAAGGCGGCGACCUGGGUCGAUACUGACGCUGAGGAGCGAAAGCCAGGGGAGCAAACGGG